UUUUUUCUGUAGGUUUACCACCUUCUCCAUUAUUUCUGGUUGAACACUGAUCCACUAAUAGCAUGAAUAUAAAACCUAGUACCAGUGUUAUACCUAUGAGGCUGUGGAGGUCACCUGAAAAAAUAAGAUGCACAAUAAUCAAACGGGGAUAUAGAAAUUUUUGGCCAGUCUGAUGCACUCUCGAUCUGACGGUGUCUUACCGCUGCCAUGCUGAUGGGCUUCGUUACCUCCAGCAUUGAAUAAAGCUCGCACACCUUCUGGAAUAAUAACAGCUAAAGCUGUUCCGACAAGUAGGCCUGCUCCCAAAACUGAGACAAGCUGUAAUUUAUCCUGAAAU